AGCAGCCGCGGUAAUUCCAGCUCCAAUAGCGUAUAUUAAAGUUGUUGCAGUUAAAAAGCUCGUAGUUGAAUUUCGGGGUUAGUAAGUUGGUCAUGCCUUUGGUAUGCACUGGCUUUACUGAUUCCUCCUUCUUGACGAACCGUGAUGUCAUUAAUUUGGUGUUGCGGGAAAUCAGGACUGUUACUUUGAAAAAAUUAGAGUGUUUAAAGCAGGCUAACGCUUGAAUACAUUAGCAUGGAAUAAUGAAAUAGGACGUUAAUCCUAUUUUGUUGGUUUCUAGGAUCGACGUAAUGAUUAAUAGGGAUAGUUGGGAGCAUUAGUAUUCAAUUGUCAGAGGUGAAAUUCUUGGAUUUAUUGAAGACUAACUACUGCGAAAGCAUUUGCCAAGGAUGUUUUCAUUAAUCAAGAACGAAAGUUAGGGGAUCGAAGACGAUCAGAUACCGUCGUAGUCUUAACCAUAAACUAUGCCGACUAGGGAUCGGAUGAUGUUAAUUCUUUAAUGACUCA
rnacentral:rRNA from 1 species